rfam:Triticum aestivum genome assembly, contig: Triticum_aestivum_CS42_TGACv1_scaffold_150093_2BS
CAACUACUCCCUCUGUCCCAAAUUUCUUGUCUUAGAUUUGUCUACAUAUGGAUGUAUCUAAUACUAAAAUGUGACUUGAUACAUCCGUAUCUAGACAAAUCUAAGACAAGAAUUUUGGGACGGAGGGAGUACUUU